rnacentral:tRNA from 2 species
CAUUAAGAAGCUUACAACAAGCAAUAGCCUUUUAAGCUAUAGAUCGGUGACUAACUCACCCUUAAUGA